AUGGCGUUCAACGGCGCCCAGAUGCUCGCUGCCUUCACCCUGGGCAUUCUCCUCAUGGCCUUCUGUGCGGAGGCUCGGGUAUGCAUGUCCCCUAGCAAGUGGUACAAAGGGGACCCUUGCAAGAACCUGCGUUGCACCAAGGCUUGUCACAAAGAACACUUCAAGGGUGGGUUUUGCUCCAGUAAAAAGUCGAUCGUUGAUGACGAGCUCAAUGAAGACAAUGGCGACAACAGCUUUGGCAAACGGCCUAAGAAAAAAUCGAAAAAAUCGUGCAUGUGUACAUUCCCAUGCGGUCAAACCCCACCACCACCGUCGGAACCUGAUGUGCCAGAGCCGCCCGAAGUGCCAGUGCCCGGGCCACCGCCGAGGGCCGGCCAUAUUUAUUGA
rnacentral:rRNA from 1 species